CCCCACUGCUAUCGGGAUAGGACUAAGACAUGCUAGUCGAGUGACUCAGGCAAAACGAGUCACGGCACACAGCUCAGUAACACGUGGCUAAUCUGCCCUUGGGACAAGAACAACCCCGGGAAACUGGGGCUAACUCUUGAUAGGCGAAGAACACUGGAAUGUGUCUUCACCCAAAAAACUUCACGUUAUCCUCGUGAAGUCGCCCAAGGAUGAGGCCGCGACCGAUCAGGUUGUUGGCGAGGUAAUGGCUCACCAAGCCUUUUACCGGUGCGGGCCGUGGGAGCGGGAGCCCGGAGAUGGGUACUGAGACAAGGACCCAGGCCCUACGGGGAGCAGCAGUCGCGAAAACUUUGCAAUAAGCGAAAGCUUGACAGGGCUAUCCCGAGUGCCAUCCGCUGAGGAAGGCUUUUACCCAGUCUAGAACGCUGGGGGAAUAAGGAGAGGGCAAGUCUGGUGUCAGCCGCCGCGGUAAUACCAGCUCUCCGAGUGGUGUGGAUGUUUAUUGGGCCUAAAGCAUCCGUAGCUGGCUAAGUUAGUCCCUUGUUAAAUCCACCGAAUUAAUCGUUGGAUUGCGGGGGAUACUGCUUGGCUAGGGGACGAGAGAGGCAGACGGUAUUUUCGGGGUAGGGGUGAAAUCCUAUAAUCCCGGGAAGACCACCAGUGGCGAAGGCUGUCUGCUAGAACGCGCCCGACGGUGAGGGAUGAAAGCUGGGGGAGCGAACCGGAUUAGAUACCCGGGUAGUCCCAGCUGUAAACGAUGCAGGCUAGGUGUUUGGACGGCCACGUGCCGUUCUAGUGCCGCAGGGAAGCUGUUAAGCCUGCCGCCUGGGGAGUACGAUCGCAAGAUUGAAACUUAA
rnacentral:rRNA from 1 species